AUUGAACGCUGGCGGCAUGCCUUACACAUGCAAGUCGAACGGCGGCAUGAUCUAGCUUGCUAGAUUGAUGGCGAGUGGCGAACGGGUGAGUAAUACAUCGGAACGUGCCCUGUAGUGGGGGAUAACUAGUCGAAAGAUUAGCUAAUACCGCAUGCGACCUGAGGGUGAAAGUGGGGGACCGCAAGGCCUCAUGCUAUAGGAGCGGCCGAUGUCUGAUUAGCUAGUUGGUGAGGUAAAGGCUCACCAAGGCGACGAUCAGUAGCUGGUCUGAGAGGACGAUCAGCCACACUGGGACUGAGACACGGCCCAGACUCCUACGGGAGGCAGCAGUGGGGAAUUUUGGACAAUGGGGGCAACCCUAAUCCAGCAAUGCCGCGUGUGUGAAGAAGGCCUUCGGGUUGUAAAGCACUUUUGUCCGGAAAGAAAUCGCACUUACUAAUAUUAGGUGUGGAUGACGGUACCGGAAGAAUAAGGACCGGCUAACUACGUGCCAGCCGCCGCCGUAACAC
rnacentral:rRNA from 1 species